UGUUAACAUUGUUUUCCAAAACUUGUUCUGUUGGGUGGGUGGCCUUCCCCAAGAGGCUUGCUUUGCCGGAUAUUGGCAUCGAACGAGCGAUCGAGCGCUUUACGAUUUGGUAUGCGCGAAUUUUCCAGUUUUAAUUCAACUCUUGAAAAUCCUACUAGAAAGCGAUCGAGCGUUUUACGAUUUGGUUACCCUUUAGUGUUGGAGCUUGGAAGGAGGCGCCAUGGCCAAAAGAUCAGAGAUGAAGACCAGUGAAAGAGGAAUUAAGAAAAAGGAGAAGAAAGUGAAAAAGUGGAAAGCCUGGACAGCAGAACCGAGAGAGGAGGUGAGGCAACGGUUGAACUGGGUUCGACAUGUUCACCAGGAAAUUGUCCAAAUUAGGGAAGUUCUUCAUCCACUAGGCGUGGCUGUUAAGACUUUGGAUGCGCAAGUCAAUGACCUCAUUUCGACUUGGCUUGCUCAAAACAAUGGCAAUUAAUACAUCUCUUUCUUGCUCUCUGGCGAUGGGGAUUAGAUCAACUGCUAUUCCGGAGGCGUGGAAUUUCAUUUACUGUGUUUUAAGCUUCUCCCAUGGCCCCCUUUUUUUUUUUUUUUUAAGUUUCUUGUACUGUUUCAUAGUAGUAUGUAAUGUUAUGGAUUUACUUAUUGUGUGAGAUAAAUGGAAUUAUUGCAGUUUUAAUUUGAAUAA